rnacentral:rRNA from 1 species
GCCGAAUAGCUAGCCAAUACACUAAAGUUAACUAAAACCCAUAAAUACCUACCCAUAAAGAUCUAAAACAAAACAUUUAACCUCCCCAGUAUAGGCGAUAGAAAAGGAAAAAUUUAAGCAAUAGAAAAAGUACCGCAAGGGAAAGCUGAAAGAGAAAUGAAAUAACCCGUUAAAGCACAAAAAAGCAGAGACUAAUCCUCGUACCUUUUGCAUCAUGAUUUAGUAAGUACAAUCAAGCAAAGAGAACUUUAGUUUGAAACCCCGAAACUAGACGAGCUACUCCGGGGCAGCCUAUAUUAGGGCCAACCCGUCUCUGUGGCAAAAGAGUGGGAAGACCCCCGAGUAGAGGUGAUAAACCUAUCGAGCCUAGUUAUAGCUGGUUGCUUAGGAAAUGAAUUUUAGUUCAGCCCUACCCGUUCUUAAAUCAAAUAUUAUCUAACAAGAAAUAAGAGUUACCCGUAGGAGUUAGUCAAAGGAGGUACAGCUCCUUUGAAAAAGAACACAACCUUUCCAGGAGGAUAAAGAUCAUAAUAUUUUAAGGUAAACUGCUUCAGUGGGCCUAAAAGCAGCCAACUGUUAAUAGAAAGCGUUAAAGCUCAGGCAGAUAAAAAACCUAUAAUUCCGAUAACAAAUCAUAUUCCCCUAAUUAUACUAAGCCAUUCUAUGCCUACAUAGAAGAGAUUAUGCUAAAAUGAGUAAUAAGAAGAAAUGACCUUCUCCCCGCAUACCUGUAAGUCAGAUUGGACCACCCACUGACAACUAACGAACCCUAAAACAAGAGGGCAUCAUUUUUAAUAACUAUAAAUCAGGAAAACCCCAUGAAACUAAAUCGUUAACCCAACACAGGAAUGCCUAAAGGAAAGACAAAAGGGGGGAGAAGGAACUCGGCAAAUCCGAGCCUCGCCUGUUUACCAAAAACAUCGCCUCUUGCUAAAAAAGAAGUAUUAGAGGUCCCGCCUGCCCAGUGACAUAAAAGUUAAACGGCCGCGGUAUUCUGACCGUGCUAAGGUAGCGUAAUCACUUGUCUUUUAAAUGAAGACCCGUAUGAACGGCAUCACGAGGGCUCAGCUGUCUCCUCCCCCCAGUCAAUGAAAUUGAUCUGCCCGUGCAGAAGCGGACAUAAGAACAUAAGACGAGAAGACCCUAUGGAGCUUAAGACAAAAAGCCAAACAUGUAAAACAACCCACAAACCAAUUGGAAUAAAAGGUAACUUAACCCUGUGUUAUCUGGCUGGAAUGUCUUCGGUUGGGGCGACCUCGGAGGAAAAACAAGCCUCCGCAUGGAAUGGGGGAAAACAUUCCCCUAAAACUAAGAAAUACAAAUCUAAGUAACAAAAAUUUUGACCAACAAUGACCCGGACUAAGUCCGAUCAACGAACCAAGUUACCCUAGGGAUAACAGCGCAAUCCCUUCCCAGAGUCCAUAUCGACGAAGGGGUUUACGACCUCGAUGUUGGAUCAGGACAUCCUAAUGGUGCAGCCGCUAUUAAGGGUUCGUUUGUUCAACGAUUAAAGUCCUACGUGAUCUGAGUUCAGACCGGAGAAAUCCAGGUCGGUUUCUAUCUAUGAUGUAACUUCUCCUAGUACGAAAGGGCCGGAGAAGUGAGGCCUCUACUGAAAGCAAGCCUCAUCCUCACCUGCUGAAAACAAAUUAAACAGGAAACAGGAUCCAACAAACAACCGGAAAUAACGAAAC